GACGAACGCUGGCGGCGUGCUUAACACAUGCAAGUCGAACGAAGAGCGACGGAAGCUUGCUUCUAUCAAUCUUAGUGGCGAACGGGUGAGUAACGCGUAAUCAACCUGCCCUUCAGAGGGGGACAACAGUUAGAAACGACUGCUAAUACCGCAUACGAUCUAACCUCGGCAUCGAGGAUAGAUGAAAGGUGGCCUCUACAUGUAAGCUAUCACUGAAGGAGGGGAUUGCGUCUGAUUAGCUAGUUGGAGGGGUAACGGCCCACCAAGGCGAUGAUCAGUAGCCGGUCUGAGAGGAUGAACGGCCACAUUGGGACUGAGACACGGCCCAGACUCCUACGGGAGGCAGCAGUGGGGAAUCUUCCGCAAUGGACGAAAGUCUGACGGAGCAACGCCGCGUGAGUGAUGACGGCCUUCGGGUUGUAAAGCUCUGUUAAUCGGGACGAAAGGCCUUCUUGCGAAUAGUGAGAAGGAUUGACGGUACCGGAAUAGAAAGCCACGGCUAACUACGUG
rnacentral:rRNA from 1 species